rnacentral:rRNA from 1 species
CCUACGGGAGGCAGCAGUAGGGAAUCUUCCACAAUGGCCGAAAGCCUGAUGGAGCAACGCCGCGUGGGUGAAGAAGGUCUUCGGAUCGUAAAACCCUGUUGUUAGAGAAGAAAGUGCGUGAGAGUAACUGUUCACGUUUCGACGGUAUCUAACCAGAAAGCCACGGCUAACUACGUGCCAGCAGCCGCGGUAAUACGUAGGUGGCAAGCGUUAUCCGGAUUGAUUGGGCGUAAAGGGAACGCAGGCGGUCUUGUAAGUCUGAUGUGAAAGCCUUGGGCUUAACCGGAGUAGUGCAUUGGAAGCUGGGAGACUUGAGUGCAGAAGAGGAGAGUGGAACUCCAUGUGUAGCGGUGAAAUGCGUAGAUAUAUGGAAGAACACCAGUGGCGAAAGCGGCUCUCUGGUCUGUAACUGACGCUGAGGUUCGAAAGCGUGGGUAGCAAACAGGAUUAGAUACCCGAGUAGUC